rnacentral:rRNA from 1 species
CACCGCCCGUCACACCAUGGGAGUCAGUUGCUCCAGAAAUGCCCGCGCCAACCCGCAAGGGGAGCAGGGCCUCAAGGAGUGACUGGUAACUGGGGUG